rnacentral:misc_RNA from 1 species
UUUCCGUAGGUGAACCUGCGGAAGGAUCAUUGUCGAAAACUUGAAGUAUGUGGGUGGACACGAGGACUUGUCGGAACAUAUGCCGUGGUGCAUGGGUGAGUAGCCUGGUCACCAACCUGUGGUCGAUGGCGAUGCGUUCGGGUUCCCAUGCGGUCCCCGACCUAACACUUAAAUCGGCACUGAAUGUGCCAAGGAAGCUCUAUGAGAAUAUCAUGCCCCCACCCUAGCCUCACAUGGCCUGCGUGUGGGGAUUCGAGGUGGUGGGCUAUCUAACGUGCAACUUAUGACUCUCGACGAUGGAUAUCUUGGCUCCCGUAUCGAUGAAGAACGCAGCGAAAUGCGAUACAUGGUGUGAAUUGCAGAAUCUCGUGAAUCAUUGAGUUUUUGAACGCAAGUUGCGCCCGAAGCCAUUUUCUUGGUUGAAGGCACACCCGCCUGGGUGUCAUGCAUGGAGUUGUCCCCAGACCUCCACCGAUUGGAGACCCAUUCAUUUGGUUGAUUUUUUGGGGAGAAGGAGACGAAGGGGGUUGAUGUUGGCCUUCUGUUCCAUGUGGUGCAGUUGGUUUAAAUUUGGGGUCCCAGGCGCCAUGCGUUGCGAUGGGUUAUGGAGAACCGUGUUUGUCCCAUGUCGGUUGGGGAACCUGCCGCGGUCCCAUGGCCUUGUUUGACACUACGACAGAGUAGACAUCCAAACCCC